CCCCAUCCCUCCCCAAACCCACAAAUGUAUUCAUGAAUUCAUUUCCGAAAGUUCUCCCUGUGCUCAAGCGGGUGCUGCUUGUAAUUGCUGGCGGCCAAAAUCUGUUCUGUUUUUUCUGGCUGAGGUACCAGGCAAUCAUCAGCUGUAAUUAUUUCGAGUCUUGUUACAGAUGGAUCUCGGAGCUUUCAGUCUUAAACAGAAUUCAUUAUUCAAAUGCCAGCUCCAGCCUUCUGUGGAGGGGUGGGCACGGGCGCUGCCGGCCCCCCACGGGCACCACCAGCCCCAAAUGCUCGUGGGGAAGCUCUGCCUGUUUCCAAGCUCGCUUUGGACACGUGACAGCACGAGAGAGGAGCCCCAGGGACUCAGGAGUGACUCCAAGCACCUGGGCAAGACAUCACUGACCAAAUCACAGAAUCACUGAGGCUGGAAAAGACCUCCAAGACCAUCAAGUCUGACCUUUGACCCAUCACCACCCUGUCAACUAGACCAGAGCUCUGAGAGCCACCUCCAGUCAUUAAAUGGCAGAAGUGGAAUUGAAAA